rnacentral:rRNA from 1 species
GAUGAACGCUGGCGGCGUGCCUAACACAUGCAAGUCGAGCGAUCUUCUUCGGAAGAGAGCGGCGGACGGGUGAGUAACGCGUGGGUAACCUGCCUCAUACACAUGGAUAACAUACCCAAAGGUACGCUAAUACAAGAUGAUAUAAGAGAUUCGCAUGGAUUUCUUAUCUAAGCUCCGGCGGUAUGAGAUGGACCCGCGUCUGAUUAGCUAGUUGGUAAGGUAACGGCUUACCAAGGCAACGAUCAGUAGCCGACCUGAGAGGGUGAUCGGCCACAUUGGAACUGAGACACGGUCCAAACUCCUACGGGAGGCAGCAGUGGGGAAUAUUGCACAAUGGGCGAAAGCCUGAUGCAGCAACGCCGCGUGAGCGAUGAAGGCCUUCGGGUCGUAAAGCUCUGUCCUCAAGGAAGAUAAUGACGGUACUUGAGGAGGAAGCCCCGGCUAACUACGUGCCAGCCGCCGCGGUAA